rnacentral:rRNA from 1 species
UACGGGGGGGGCAAGCGUUGUUCGGAAUUACUGGGCGCAAAGGGCGUGUAGGCGGCUCGAUAAGUCUGCUGUGAAAGUCCAGGGCUCAACCCUGGAAGGCCGGUGGAAACUGUCGGGCUAGAGUCCGGAAGAGGAGAAUGGAAUUCCCGGUGUAGCGGUGAAAUGCGCAGAUAUCGGGAAGAACACCCGUGGCGAAGGCGGUUCUCUGGGACGGUACUGACGCUGAGACGCGAAAGCGUGGGGAGCGAACAGG